CCACACAUGGACUGAAUUUCAAGUCUCCAGCCAAAAGACUCUCUUGACUGAAGACUUGAGGGACUACUGUUUAUACCAUAUUUAGGGCCUCGUAUAUUUGGGCCUUGGGCCUUGUAUUUGGGCCUCACACUAAAGCCCAUACUUUGUAAAAGAGGAGGAGCCCCUUAUUCUAUAAAAGGGGACUCCUACCCUCAUUCUAGAGGAGGCAAAAGAACCAAGCCUAAGAAGGCUAAGAGAAGCUAUCAUUACAUUCAGGAGAGACUUCACACCACCGAGGCUCUCCUCUCCCUUCCCUUCUUUCUCCUCCGGGGGACUUCCCCCAAACACUUGUAUCCAUACAAUUACAGAGAAACAGAAUCAACUACAGUGUGGAUGUAGCCCAAACCUUGGGGUGAACCACGAUACAUCUUGUGUUAUUUACAUUUCAUGCAGAUUCACGGUCGGAUUUACGUUGUACCAAGACCAUCCGGUUUUGUGCAUCAACAAUAGACAUGAUUUCAUUGGAUGGAUGACCAAACUGUUGAUGCCACAAAGUUGACUUCACCAACUGUCCAAGAAAAACACAAGGUUGCUAAAUCACAGACUGAACUUGAUGCGAAAUAUAUAAGCACACAAAUUAAACCCUCUUUUUAUCAAUUGUAGCAAAGUAUGUAAGUAGGGAUCGUUCUAGGCCGGGGAUUAGGAGGGAUUGCUAAAUCACUUAAAACUGACUCAAAAACGUAAAAACAAAGUUUAAAACACUAAACUAGACUCAAAGAAUGCAAAACUAAACUUUAAAACACUAAAACAAACCAAAAGACUCAAAACAGCCCAGAAACACUCAAAACUGCCUUAAAAUCACAAUCUGGGCAGUUUGAACACCUAACACUAAUCUGGACGAAAUUGGGUCAUAACUUGACUCAAGACACUUAAAAACACAAACUAAAUUGACUUCUAACUAAGAUGACUCAACAAGAUAAAGGGGGAUUGAUUUUAGACGGAUUUAAAAACAAAACAGAAACUUUGUAACUUGAACAGAUUUUAAAACGAAUUUGGCUAAAGUUAAUGGAUGGAAAACUAGCUAAGGGGUUCUUCUCCACACAUGUCACACUUGCAUACAAAACGAUUUCCAAUUGCUUCUCAAUAAACCAUGAAUUCUCAACGCCCCAAGUUAAUUAGGUCCGCUUAAAUUAACCCUCAGAUUUUCCUUAAGUUAUUGAAUUGGAUGAAUUGCAUAUGACAACCCAAAGCAUUCCCCACAAGUUCCCUACAUGAAAGCGCAUAAUAGAGAUUCAAGCAAGGAUCAUUAAGUUCUAUGAAAAUCAUAAACAUUGACGAGGCACUCGUAACUAUGAAAGCACAUGUUACUUAUGCCAAGAAUUUACUUAACGCGAUUGUGAUCAACAACCUUUACUACUUGUGAAUAUAAGUUCAUAACAAUUAAUUGAAAUUCCCUUAUAUCCUAGCAUCAAAUUCAUGCAUGCAAACUAAGCGGGCCCUCUUAACCAACAUACACAAACCAGUUUUAAUUCAUAUAGAUAAGUAAAUUGAAUUCACAACUUAUGAAACGCAAUUAGAAGUAAGCAAAUCAUAUAGCAAGCAUAAACAUGGUUUUGAAUCCCCCCCUAGCCAAGGGGGGUUUAGUUCCUCAUACUCGCAAAGCAAAGAUACAUAAAUUUAGAAAUUAAAAUCCAAAGAAAGAAAACACCUAGAGCGCUCCAACUUGGCAGCAAGCGCAUCAAUGAUUUCUCCUUCCUCCUUGCUGCGGCAGAGAAGUUUAGAACAGGUUUUGGGUGGUAUUUAUGGUGUAGAAUGGAUGAGGAAUGGUAUGGAAAGGUUUAGGGUUGAUGGGUGGUGCGGCAAGGGAUGAUUUCUGGCUGGAAUUAGAGAGAAUGGUGGUGGAAAGCUGCGGCAGAGCACAAGGGUGGAUUUCUGGCGUGUAGAAUGAAUAUGGGAGGUGGUAAUUCGGCCAAGGGGUUAUAAUGAGUAUAUAUAGGCACUUAAAACCCUAGGUAAAUCAGAUAUGGACUUGAAUAACCCAAAUCCACAAGGAAAUAGGCUUAGAAAUCAGAAUCCACAAGGGAAAAGGUCCACAAAGGUGUGGCAGGUUUAGAUGAUAUGGAUAGGGCUUCUAGAAUGCCUUGCAAGGCAAGGAAAACAAGUUCUAGAAAGGGGAUAGGUGCGGCAGGUUUAGGGAAUGUAGAUAGGGCUUCUAGAAAGCCCAAAACCAAGAGAAAAUAAGGCCCAACCCACGGCAAGGAUGAGAAAAUGUUCUAGAACCCUUCUUUGUGUCUUCCAACGUUUAGGAACCUUCUAAUUUUGCUAAAACUCAAGGCCAUGUAGGUUUAGGAAAGAUCAACCCAAAGUGGAAACUUUUAGGCUUAGCUCUCCUACUUCAAGUAGGAAACCUCGUUUGAGUAGGAAUCUUCGUUCUUCUAGGAAUCCAUCUUCAACUAGGAAUCCCUCGUUGAUUAGGAAUCCUUCUUCAAUUAGGACUCCUCCUCGGACUAGGAAUCCUUCUUGGAUUAGGACUCCUCCUCGGACUAGGAAUCCUCAAAUCUUCAAAUCUUCAAUUUUGUCCAAACCUUGUGUUCCAAGCAUGUACUUUCCAAUCCAUGCUCACUUUUGCUCCAAAAGCUCUUAAUUGCAUCAUUUUAGGUAAUAUGCCCUUUAAACCUGAAAACACAUGAAAGUAGCUUAAACGUCUAUUUUAACUUAGAAAACAUAACAAAAAUGCAUAAGAACUAGCUAACUAAGGCGCAUAAAUAUGCUCCUAUCAGAACUCCUCUUGAUUGCUUGAUAACAGGGAUUUGAAACAACUGUCUUGCUUUACUCUUUCCUCUGUACAGAUGUCCCUUGUCUUCUUGUCCUACACAAAAAACUCAUUCUCAUCACACACAAACCAACUAUGAUUGUCAGCACAUAAUCGUUGUACAGAUAGCAAACUUCAAGCAAUUUUUGGAACAUGUAAAACAUUAUUAACAAACAGGUUAUGAGAAUUAGUUUUAAUAGUAGUUGCACCAAUAUUCUCAAUAGAUAAACCUGUCCCAUUGCCAACCAAAAUUGUUUCAGAACCUUGGAAUGGUGUAACUUGAUUCAAUGUAUUGACAUCAGCAGUGAUAUGGUGAGAUGCACCAGUAUCAAUAAUCCAAGCAUCCUAAGGAAUUUGUUGUUCUGAUUGCUAGGUUGUCAUAGCUGUGAACUGUGUAGGUGGUUGUUGGCCUUGGAACACAUAAUUCCCUCUAUGAUAGCAAUCAAGAGCUGAAUGACCACGUCUCCCACAAAUCUGACACUCCAUUUGAAAACCAGUACUGGGUGCAGUAGCAUUCCUGUGGAAACAAUUAACAUAUUAACGCUACUAAAUUACUGAAAUCUUAAUGAAGAAGAAACUAAAGAAAUAGAUGAAGAAGAAAAACAAGAGAACUUUGAGUGAUAUAUUCUGAGUAAAAGAAAUAUUACAUCGUACAACUCCAAGUCUCUAAGACUACCCUUAUAUAGAAAACUAUGUAGUACAGUUUUACAUUUUUACCCUUUAUGUCUAACUCCAACCAACUCUAACUACUUUGAAGAUAAGUCCCACUUGAUUCCAACUGAUUCAGUUUAUUUGGUUAAUACUGGCUAGUGUUAUAAUUUAUAACUGUAACUACUUCAAGAUGAAAAUAACAAUGUUCCUCUUGUCAUCCUCAUAUUACCAACUUCCAUGCAUAAAACAGUAUUCUAUAAUGACAAUAUGCUAUAGUUACUUCGAAAUGACUGAAUUGUAUAGGGAUGAUUACUAAGGGGGUGGAGGAGUAGCAUAAGCUAUAUAUAUUAGAUCUGAUAUAAAUAUUUUUUAAAAGUAGUGCGAGUGAUUUAACAUAAAAUUUAGUUUCAUAACCAACUCAUACUCUGCCUUUUGCCUUAUACAAUAUUUUUAACGUCAUACAAAAAUUAAAGAUCACCAUGGCAAGUUAACUAUAGUUUCCUUAGAAAUGACAAGCUACAAGUUUAGCAUGCUCAUAAUUUAAUUAAUUAUCUGCAUCGCCAUAGUUAAUAAAAAUGUCCUUAUCACUCAACCAAUCCUCGCUCCAAUCUCCAUCUCAUCCACUCCCCGGAAAGUCCAAACCUCCACCUUCCAACUCCAAUCUGCAUCCUUGUUUUGUCCUUAGAUCCUAAGGGAUGAGAGGACGACACUAUCCUAUAAUAAUAAAUUAACAUAAUCAAAAGCACCAAUCGCUUUCCAUCCCUCAACACUUGCCCAUGAUUUUUCUUCCCAACAAAUAUUUCUUUUAACGCUACUUAUUAGUACGAUUUAGUGAACUUUUCUUCAGUUAUAAAAUAAAAGUCUUAGGUUCGAAUCUCAUAAAUGAUAUGUUUGAGAUAAAAUUAUUAUGACAUGCUAAUUGUAUGACUUAGUCUUAAUUUCUUACCUCUUAACGUAAAUAUAUCGUCUGUAUUAUAAAAUUUUAUUUUGGCACAAAAAAAAAAAUAUAUAUAUAUAUGUCAAAGAUGAAAGAGUCAGCCUCUAUGGAUUGGAUGGGCUGGACCACAACAGCACCCAAAACCGUAACAAAUAAUGGUUCACAGCUCUAAUGUGCACCACCAUGCACUACACUGCGUUUGGAGCCAUGGGCCUCCCAAUACUUCAAUAAAAUAAAAUCUUGAAGUGUUGUAAAAGUUGUGGGUUUGAAUGCCACAUGGUUUAGUCAAAAGUUAAAAUGUAAGGAUGACUAAAAUGGCAGUGUUGUUAGAUUUGCAAUUCUUAGAAGACAUGAUUUUCAACUUGUAUGGCAUGGUUUUCAACAUGCCUUAAUUUGCCUUUUAGACUUAUGCAUGUAAAAGUCUCUAUAUAAAUAGCAUGCAAUGCAUGAUCAAACAACACACUAGAUCAAGAGUGAAAGUAAUAAUACCAAUAUACCACACAAACGCCAUGCCUGUGAACGAGAAAUUAAACAGUCGUAACUUGUGGAAAUUGUUGUUGACAUCCCCAUGUUGGGUAGUGAAUCUGACCACGUGUUCUAAUGAGGAAAAGGAUGAUUCCCCAAUGAAGAGACUGAAUCUAGGAUAUUGAAUCCUCGGGGAUAUUCAAACCUUUCAAUGAAAGCUAGGUAUGGAAGGAUAAACUUUGGGACUUUCGGCCCUUUCUUUCAAAGCCAAAUUAAUCAUUCUCUUAACUUCACCCUUAUCAACGGAUGUCGUUUCUGUUCUUCUGCCAAAUUCGGCCAAACUGGUCCUUGGCCCACUGUAUGGUCUUUCAAGAUCGCUUGUCUUGGUCUGAUUGAGUCUCAUUUUGGCUUGCCCUGGUGGUGCGAAAAUUUUCUUCAAACACAAAUUAAACCUUCUUGUUGUCAAAUUGUAGUAUAAAUGCAAGUAGGGAUCAUUCUAAACCGGGGAUUAUGAGGGCUUGCUAAAACCUCUAAACUGACUUAAAAACAUAUAAACAAAGUUAAAAACACUAAUCUAGACUCAAAGAACUUAAAACAAACUCAAAGGACUCAAAACAAGCUAAAAACGCUCAAAUCUGCCUAAAAACACAAACUGGGUAGAUUUGGACUCUAACACACUUUUGGGACACCUAAAAACACAAAUCAAAACAGAAUUUGACUAAUAAAACACUUUAAAGUAAAUGGGGUUUUGAUCGGAUCAUAUUUAUAUAUAUUUUUACUUCGAAUUCACUCAUCUUUUCUUAGUUAGUUCCUUAUAUUUUUGAGCUAUUUACGUUAUUUUUGUGUUUAUAGGAUUUGUUAUGCAAAGAAAAUAAAAAUAGCACAAAUGAGUUUUAAAUAAUAAACAGAAUAGUUACUUCGAACAUUAUGAUUUUUUUGUAGGUCAAUUAAUUUAGUUUAUUCAUUGCGAUUAUAAUUGAAGUCAUUAUUUGUCUAUUUUCUGAUCGCCAACUUCAAGCAAAUUCUCUUGCUUGCAGAGUUCCUAAAGACGUGACCUGCCUAAGAAUUGUGGAAUGCAUUUCGGGAGUCAAUACUCGUAGUAAGCUGUUUAGAAGUGCAAUUGCCCAUCAGAUGCUUCUUAGCUGUUAUGAUCAUAAGCAAGUGUGGCUUUCCAACUAGACAACAAAAGGGAUCCAAGGAAGUGGAAGGCUGAGAGACAGCUAGGAGGCAGAAACGAAAAAUAUAAUAGAGCAGACGCGGGGGGGAGACAUAAAAAGGAUUGGGAGCUGCUGGGGCAGCUAAGAAAAAGGAAAUAAAAAAUAAAUAAAGAAACGGUGAAAAGAAUCCAAGGCAGUAGAGAGGUCAGAGUGCGCCAGAGGGGAAAGCAAAAAGCAGACACGGGACGGAUUGGAAAAAGCUGCCUUGGCAGCGUGUGAGAGAGUGAAAGAAAUAGAGGGGAGCAGGAUAAUUAGAAAAAAAAAACGUGACGCGGAGAGAGGGGGCUGCCUCUUGGCAGCUCGCGGAGAGCACAGGGCAGUGUGCGGAAAAAUAAAAAAAAAGGCAGAACAGGAGAGGUGAGGACGUGCAGAGAGAGCAGCAUCGGGGAGAAAAAGAAAAUAAAAAAAGAGAGGUCAGAGAGGGAAGCAGGAAAGCUGCCUUUGGCAGCUGGAAAGAAAGCGGAAGAAAGGGGCUGCCCUUUGGGCAGCUCGCAGGAACGUGCAGAGAGCAGUGAGGAAAGGUGAGGCAAGCAAGAGAGAGCAGUGAGGGAAGGAGAGGCGCAGGAAGAGUGAGGACCGUGAGAACAGGAAGGCAGUACGGGAAUACAAGCUGCCUUUGGCAGCUGGCAGUUGACGCGCGGAAAGGAAAGUCAGCACGCUGCCUUGGCAGCGUGAAAAACCAGGAAGGCAGGCCAGCGAGGCGCAGUUCACACGGGCGCGAAAGCAGCAGAUCACCUUCUUUCGGUUUAAUCUUUCCAAACUCCUAUUUUAUUUCUGUUUUUAAUAAUGUGUAAUUAAACUUAUUUUGGCUAGAGGUUAAUUCAAAGCCAUGAAUAUAUUUGUAAUAUGAAUUGAUUACCUUCGGUUGUGAUUUCAUAAGUUGUGAUUUCAAUUUACUUAUCCGUUCGUAUAAAAAAACUGAUUUGUGUAUGUUUGGUUGAGAGUGCACGCUUAAUUUACAUGCAUGAAUUUGAUGCUAGAAUAUAAGUGAAUUUCACCUAAUCGUUAUGAACUUAUUUUCACAAGUAGUAAAGGUUGCUAGUCACAAUCACGUUAAGUAAAUUCUUGGCAAGAGUAUCAUGCUUUUCAUAGUUACGAAUGCCUCGUCAAUGCUUAUAGUUUUCACAAAGUUUAAUGAUCUUUGAUUGUAUCUCUAUUGUGCUUUUCACGUAGGGGACUUUUGAAGAAUGUUUUGAAUUGUUGUAUGCGUUUUUUCCGUCCAAUUCAAUAACUUAAGGAAAAACUUGAAGAUUAAAAAAGUGCUGUUCACGGUUAAUCUGGAGUAUUGAGAUUCACAAUUUAUUGAAAGAAACAACUGAAAAUCAAUUUAGGUUGCAUAUGUGUCAUGUGUGGAGAAGAACCCUCUAGCUAGUCCGUCAUUUAUCAUUUUACCUUAAUUUUAUGUUUUUAUCAAUUCUGUAAUUUAAUUAAGUUUAAUUUAUUUUUCAUCAAAGCCAAACACCCAUCCAUUAUUAAAUUAUAUUAUUUAGUUAGUUUUCUUUAUUGUUAGUCUUUUAAUUUAAUUUCCGUCCAUUUCAAUUCCUAGUGUCUAUUUUGAUUGUUUUUAUUAUUUUGAGUCAUUUUAAGUGUGUUUCGAAUUAUUAGAGUUUUUAGCCUAGUUUUGUGUCCUUGAGUCUUGUUUAAUAUUUUUUACUUUGUUUUUUUAUGUUUUUAAGAGGUUUUAGCAAGCCCUCCUAAUCCCCGGCCUAGAACGAUACCCUACUUAUACUUAUACUACAAUUGACAAAAAGAGGGUUUAAUUUUGUGUGCUUAUAUUUUUCACAUCAAAUUUUGGCGCCGUUGCCGGGGAUUAGUAACUUUGCUAAUCCUUUUAUUUUUGUUUUUGUUUAUGUUUAUAUUGGUGUUUGUGUAUUUUACUUUUGAUAUUUGAUUUAUUUUUCUUUCUUUGAUUUUAGGUUCAAAUGGAGCCGAGGGAAAUUUAAAGGAAAGAUGCGUCCGGCUAAAGACGUUAAAUCAAGCGCUUCUUGGGAGGCAACCCAAGCAUUCAACGAAGGGAGACUUUGGAAUCGCUAACCCAAUCAGCUUUGCAUUCUUCCACCCUUAUCUUUGCUGCUUUCAUUUUGUUUUGUUUAGUUAGUUGUGUUAUUUGGUUGAUUUCUGUGAGUUUGUGUUAUUUAGUUUAAGUGUGGGGGAAGGUUAACCAAAGUCUCUUUACAUUAAUUUACAUUUAAAAAAAAAUAAAAAAAUAAAAAAAUAAAAAAAUAAAAAAAUAAAAAUAAAAAAAAAUAAAAAAUUAAAAAUUAAAAAAAAAAAAAAAAAAAAAAAAGAUAAAAUUUAAAAUUAAUGUUAAAAAAAAAAAAAAAAAAAAAAAUUACAUAAAAUAUUUUACAAUAAUGUAAACUAAUAGUAUUCAUUGGUCGGGUGGUGCUUCAGUAGUAGGCGGGGCUUCAGCAGUCGGCGGGGCCACAGAAGGAGGAGGCGGCAGGAGGUUGAUCAGUUGGAGCUUCACUACGCGGUGCCGCUCCAGAAGACGAAGGCAGAUGCGGUUGGAACAAACCCACAAACCUCCGAUGAUCAAGUAAAAUUUGACCAUCGGUGUCCUGCAUCUGGUCAAUCUUCCUCUUCAUGCUGGUGGCAUAGCUGUGUGCGAGCUUGUGCAAUUCCUUAUUCUCAUGCUUGAGCCCUUUAAUCUCUUGCUUGAGACUCUGUAUUUCAGCCACCAAGGAUUCAACGUGACGGGUUCGGGCAUAUAGGCGUUGGGCCAUGUUGGAUACGGAACCCGCACACUGCACACUGAGAGCCAGAGACUCCUUGACCGCCAAAUUCAUCAGACCGCCUUGCGAGCAGUCUGUUAUCUCUGGGAGUGACAAGGUUUCGGGCCACCACCGCAGCGGUCAUGUCAUUUUUCAUCAUCGAAUCCCCCACGGUAAGGGGACCGGUAGGGGAUAUGAAGGAUGGCCGCCAUAUGUUGUCUGGUGAAGGCGGAGCUGCCUCUUCACCAAUGUUCAAGUCAAAACGACGAUCAGAAGGGCCAGACAUUUUUUCAGAGGUGGUGAAGAAAGAGAGAGGAUGACUGAUCAAGAUUAAACAAGUGCAAGAAGGGAGUGUUUACAGGAGGGUACUCAAGUGUGUUUGUGGAACAAGCUUAACGUCUCUAUAAAAAGGAAGAAAUCAAAAGAGGCGCUCCUCAGAGAAGCGUCCUCUCGCAAAUCGAAGAGUCGGGGCUCCGUUCUCAAACGUCUGAUNGGCAUAUAGGCGUUGGGCCAUGUUGGAUACGGAACCCGCACACUGCACACUGAGAGAGCCAGAGACUCCUUGACCGCCAAUUCAUCAGACCGCCUUGCGAGCAGUCUGUUAUCUCUGGGAGUGACAAGGUUUCGGGCCACCACCGCAGCGGUCAUGUCAUUUUUCAUCAUCGAAUCCCCCACGGUAAGGGGACCGGUAGGGGAUAUGAAGGAUGGCCGCCAUAUGUUGUCUGGUGAAGGCGGAGCUGCCUCUUCACCAAUGUUCAAGUCAAAACGACGAUCAGAAGGGCCAGACAUUUUUCAGAGGUGGUGAAGAAAGAAGAGAGGAUGACUGAUCAAGAUUAAACAAGUGCAAGAAGGGAGUGUUUACAGGAGGGUACUCAAGUGUGUUGUGGAACAAGCUUAACGUCUCUAUAAAAAGGAAGAAAUCAAAGAGGCGCUCCUCAGAGAAGCGUCCUCUCGCAAAUCGAAGAGUCGGGGCUCCGUUCUCAAACGUCUGAUUCUUUUCUCAAAAGAGGAGUUUCCUUUCUCAAAAGCCGGAUUCUUUUCUCAAAAGAGGCGUUUCAUUUCUUAAAGGCUGGGCUUGCUCAGAAACCACGAGCCGAACCCCGGAUUUCAAAAGAUCAAUUUGUCCAGACGUGUCGUCACUUGUCACACGCAAAUUGCUUUGCGGAAAUCUUGGGCAAUUUGUCGAAGCACCAAUUCAGAAAUCGAAGAGGGAAAUUCAACAGUCAAAGACACGCUAGCUUUCUCAAAAGCUGGGCUUCAACCCACGGGAAAAUCUUCUUUUCCAGAUUUAUCCGCACGUGUCACAUGCUACCUCUACAAUCGACGAUGCUCAGAGCUCGAAGCGCCGAUUACAGAUAUCAAUGAGGAAUCAGCUUUGCGGAAAUUACGGGCAGCUUUGUCAGAAAGCGCGUAAUUUGUAUUCUUCACCCAUCCACCGGCUGCCGACACUAAGUGAGAGAACAGUUCCGGUUGUGAAGACAAGUCCUAUAAGUUUCUACCUUCGCCUUCCACAGCAAUAGCACACUCUCUCAGCACACCCUCUCAACACCUCUUUCAUCUCCGAAAAUGCAUUCCCAAAGAAUCCUCUCGAGUCACUCUGUGUUCCUCAUUCCUUGGGAUACUCCUGCGAACAACCCAUUCAAAGCAAAAGUAUUUCAUAUCAUAAAGGUUGAAAGCAAGAGUAUCUCAUAUCAUGCUUUCUCCAUGUCCUUCUCCUUGUCUUUGUUUUCCGACAAGGAGAAAGAGAGCAAUCAGCCAGCAUUUGGUAUCAAUCUUCCAAUCUGGAGCCAACUGCCUGGAACCCUUUCCUGAUUGCUUACCUAGCCUUGCUCUCGAGUACUCAUCUUCUUCAUCUUAUGCUUCCGUUUUGUCUACCACAUCUACUUGGGGGACAAGUAAGGGAGGUGAAAAUGAGACCUCGAAGCAUGUGGAGACAAUUCAGCUAGGGACAAGGAGAAAGAAAGCAAGAGGUGGGCACUUGGAAAGAUUGAAGAAAGAAAUAAGGACCAACACCUUUCCCUCGUGCCUGCCCGUUGUGCAGAAGAAACAAGCAGAGAAGAAUGCAGCUUGCACAAUCAUCCCAGCGGAAGGAGUCCGAACUGAGGAACUAGAGAAGCUGCCACAUUCUGCUUGGAGAACAAAUAAGGAACUGCAACAUUCCCAAAGAGCAAAGCUCCGCCGUACAAUAUCAUCAAAUAGUAAAAAGCUAAGUGUCACCCUGUUCAAGAGGAAAGCUGUGGAAAGUCAACAAGCACGACCAAUGAUUAUUUAUUAGUUUUAUUCAUUAUCUUUUAUCGUAAUUUCAAUUUUUCGUUUGCAAUUUUUUUUAAUUAAUUUUCUUGCGUACUUAACUGAAUUUUUCCUUUUCUUUGCAGGAACUUUUGGUUAUUUCCACCCUUGAAGUUGAUUGCAGAAUUUUAGCUUGGGGGUCAUCGCUUGAUUUUACUGCAAAUUAGGGAAGUUUUCAGUCCAAUUGCGUUAUUUUGUUUCUUAUUAUUUAUUUAUUUUAUUUUAUUUUUUUAUUUGCAUUAUAGUGUUUUCUGACAUUGGGGACAAUGUCCAGUUUAAGUGUGGGGGUAGAAAUCUCCAGAAUUUCAUUUGUUUCUGUGUUGCUGUUUUUUGUGUUCUUAAUUAGUUUUGUUUUCUUUUAAAAAAAAUAAAAAAAUAAAAAAAUAAAAAAAUAAAAAAUCGGAAAAUUUAAAAAUCUAAAAAUAUUGUCUUGUUUCCCUUAUUGUUUUGAAUUAGAUUUUUGUUAGUUUCCCGACCCAAUGAUAUAAUUAGAUCAAAUUUGAAUCACGAUUAUCAAGAACUUAGUUAACAUGUGUUUUAUGAAAUUCCUAAUUCUCUUGUUAGUUUUGUACAUGUUUGAUCAUCUUUGAAAAACCAAAUGCACAUAGCCUUGUUAAUGUGAAACUAAAGUAUGACUUAAAGCUUCAUAUGUGAAUUUAGUGACCAUAUACAUCCUAUGUGAGUUUUUGAGCCUAUUGAAAGUGUGCAUUUUUCAUACACUCCUAUUCUUUCAUGUGUGAUGAACUUAUGUGAGAUACAUCUCUAGAACUUGCGUAACGAUCUUUCGAAAUGUUUGUCAUUGAUUGCAUGAACUUGGAAAUGAUAGAGGCAUUAGGUUUACCACUAUGGCCCAAAUAACUAUGUUCCCCAAAGAAAAAUGAUAUCAUUAGAUUGCCAAUUUGAGCCGUGUAUGUUGAGCCUUUUAUUUCUUAUUUCCAGAUAUGUCUACCCUUAUACCUGAACCAUUUUUUCCUUACCCUUUCCAAGCGAGCAAUGCGAGAUUGUCUUAUGAGAAACGUUUGUGAAGUGCUUUGAAGGUGUGUGGCAAAAGAAUAAGUGUGGGGGUAUUUCAUGUUUGUAUUUAAAAAAAAAAAAAAAAAAAAAAAAAAAAGAAAAAAAAAAGAAGAAAGAUUGUAUACAAAUGAAAUAAAAAGUUUGUCAAUUUUCAGUUUAAGGGUGUGGUUGGAGGUGCUAAAAGAAUCGUUGGAAAUAUUGAGUUCUUAUAAAUCUAAAUAGAAGAAUUGCUUGCAAUGUAGCUUGGAACUUGUGUUUUCCUAUUCUUUCGUUUCAAUAACCCUCUCCUUAAACCUCAUUACGUCCAAUAAAAGUCCUCUUGAUUUAAGUUUUGCAAUUAUGAUUGUGGAGAUGAGAUCUUUAUGCAAGCUUAUGGUAGAAAUUUCACAUUUGAUUCUUUGAGCGAAACACAUUAAAACUAAACACAUGUGUGAUUGAGUGUAUAUCCCGUGAGAAUGUUACUAGUUUGCAUAUGAUGAUUUUAAAAAUAAAAACUUGAAAUUGCAUUAGCAUGGCUAUCUCACACACUACACUUCAAGGAUGAUUCAAAGAUUACUGCUAAUAUUUGAAUAAGGAAGAUGAACUUGGAUUAACUUGUUUGGUGCUAGCUAUGGUUCUUGACGAUUUGUUUUCUCGAAUGAAAUUCUAUGAGGGUCACAUAGGGGGAAACUAAUGUUUUUCAUGUUAGUGCUUUUUCAUGUUUUCUUUGUUUUGCUCGAGGACUAGCAAAAGUUAAGUGUGGGGGUAUUUGAUCGGAUCAUAUUUAUAUAUAUUUUUACUUCGAAUUCACUCAUCUUUUCUUAGUUAGUUCCUUAUAUUUUUGAGCUAUUUACGUUAUUUUUGUGUUUAUAGGAUUUGUUAUGCAAAGAAAAUAAAAAUAGCACAAAUGAGUUUUAAAUAAUAAACAGAAUAGUUACUUCGAACAUUAUGAUUUUUUUGUAGGUCAAUUAAUUUAGUUUAUUCAUUGCGAUUAUAAUUGAAGUCAUUAUUUGUCUAUUUUCUGAUCGCCAACUUCAAGCAAAUUCUCUUGCUUGCAGAGUUCCUAAAGACGUGACCUGCCUAAGAAUUGUGGAAUGCAUUCGGGAGUCAAUACUCGUAGUAAGCUGUUUAGAAGUGCAAUUGCCCAUCAGAUGCUUCUUAGCUGUUAUGAUCAUAAGCAAGUGUGGCUUUCCAACUAGACAACAAAAGGGAUCCAAGGAAGUGGAAGGCUGAGAGACAGCUAGGAGGCAGAAACGAAAAAUAUAAUAGAGCAGACGCGGGGGGGAGACAUAAAAAGGAUUGGGAGCUGCUGGGGCAGCUAAGAGAAAGGAAAUAAAAAAUAAAUAAAGAAACGGUGAAAAGAAUCCAAGGCAGUAGAGAGGUCAGAGUGCGCCAGAGGGGAAAGCAAAAAGCAGACACGGGACGGAUUGGAAAAAGCUGCCUUGGCAGCGUGUGAGAGAGUGAAAGAAAUAGAAGGGAGCAGGAUAAUUAGAAAAAAAAACGUGACGCGGAGAGAGGGGGCUGCCUCUUGGCAGCUCGCGGAGAGCACAGGGCAGUGUGCGGAAAAAUAAAAAAAAAGGCAGAACAGGAGAGGUGAGGACGUGCAGAGAGAGCAGCAUCGGGGAGAAAAAGAAAAUAAAAAAAGAGAGGUCAGAGAGGGAAGCAGGAAAGCUGCCUUUGGCAGCUGGAAAGAAAGCGGAAGAAAGGGGCUGCCCUUUGGGCAGCUCGCAGGAACGUGCAGAGAGCAGUGAGGAAAGGUGAGGCAAGCAAGAGAGAGCAGUGAGGGAAGGAGAGGCGCAGGAAGAGUGAGGACCGUGAGAACAGGAAGGCAGUACGGGAAUACAAGCUGCCUUUGGCAGCUGGCAGUUGACGCGCGGAAAGGAAAGUCAGCACGCUGCCUUGGCAGCGUGAAAAACCAGGAAGGCAGGCCAGCGAGGCGCAGUUCACACGGGCGCGAAAGCAGCAGAUCACCUUCUUUCGGUUUAAUCUUUCCAAACUCCUAUUUUAUUUCUGUUUUUAAUAAUGUGUAAUUAAACUUAUUUUGGCUAGAGGUUAAUUCAAAGCCAUGAAUAUAUUUGUAAUAUGAAUUGAUUACCUUCGGUU
rnacentral:lncRNA from 1 species